GAUGAAGAACUCAGCGAAAUGCGAUAAGUAAUGUGAAUUGCAGAAUUCAGUGAAUCAUCGAAUCUUUGAACGCACAUUGCGCCCCUUGGUAUUCCGAGGGGCAUGCCUGUUCGAGCGUCAUUAUAACCCUCAAGCUCAGCUUGGUGUUGGGGCCUGCUGCACUGGCAGCCCUUAAAAUCAGUGGCGGCGCCAUCUGGCUCUAAGCGUAGUAAUUCUUCUCGCUAUGGAGUCCUGGUGGAUGCUUGCCAUCAACCCCCAAUUUUUCUAUGGUUGACCUCGGAUCAGGUAGGGAUACCCGCUGAACUUAAGCAUAUCAAUAAGCGGAGGA
rnacentral:misc_RNA from 1 species